rnacentral:lncRNA from 8 species
CUCAGUUUACAGUGAGUAAAUCUCAGUUUACAGUGAGUAAAUCUCAGUUUACAUUGAGUAAAUCUCAGUUUACAUUGAGUAAAUCUCAGUUUACUGUGGUAUACAGCAUUAGAAAGAAGUAUCAACAUGCAGAACUUAGUGAUGGUGUCUGUCGAUGAGCCAGAUAGUUUAACUGCAGUUCUCUGUUUCCCCACAUGGAGGCGCUGUUGUGCGGUUGCUUUCUGCCUGGGUACUGCGGUAUACAGCCACCAAGUUACAAAGGAGUGCAUUACGUGGACGGGGGUUUCUCCAGUAUCCAGCCGACCAACUCCUGCCCGAUUGGCCACACCAUCACUGUGUCUCCAUUCGCUGGUGAGACGGACAUCUGCCCAAAAGACCCCGCCCCACUGUGUGACCUCGUGGUGAGCGGAGCGAACCUCCACUGCAGUCUUGUCAACGGUUAUCGGAUCCUAGACGCCAUCUACCCCUACAACUGGGAGGCUCUGGACAAGGCCUACCACAGUGGAUACAGAGACGGCCUUCACUUCCUACAAACCAGUGGUGGGUCACGAUGUCAUGUGAUCUCUGCAUAGAUGAGUUUCUUUACGGUGGGAAGAGAUGAUGUAACAUGACAUAGUGACUCCUUAUCCAAUUGUUUUUUUUCUCUCUGUGUCUUUCUCUCUCUCACCCUCUCUCUGUGUCUCUCUCUCACCCUCUCACCCUCUCACCCUCUCUCUGUGUCUCUGUCUCUCUCUCCCUCUCUCUGUGUCUCUCUCUCUCUCUCACCCACUCUCUGUGUCUCUCUCUUUCUCUAACCCUCUCUCUGUGUCUCUCUCUCUCUCUCACCCUCUCUCUGUGUCUCUCUCUUUCUCUCUCACCCUCUCACCCUCUCACCCUCUCACCCUCUCUCUGUGUCUCUGUCUCUCUCUCCCUCUCUCUGUCUCUCUCUCUCUCUCACCCUCUCUCUGUCUCUCUCUCCCUUUCUCUCUCUGUGUCUCUCUCUUUCUCUCUCUCUGUGUGUGUCUCUGUCUCUCUCCCAUCCUCUCUCUGUGUCUCUCUCUUUCUCUCACCCUCUGUGUCUCUCUCUCUCUCACCCUCUCUCUGUGUCUCUCUCUUUCUCUCACCCUCUGUGUCUCUCUCUCUCUCACCCUCUCACCCUCUCUCUCUCACCCUCUCUCUCUCACCCUCUCUCUGUGUCUCUGUCUCUCUCUCCCUCUGUGUGUGUGUGUCUCUCUCUCUCUCUCACCCUCUCUCUGUGUCUCUCUCUUUCUCUCACCCUCUCUCUGUGUCUCUCUCUCUCUCUCACCCUCUCUCUGUCUUUCUCUACCUCUCUCUGUGUGUCUCUCUCUCUCUCUCUCUCUCUCUCUCCCUCUCUCUCUCUGUGUCUCUCUCUCUCUCUUUCUCUCACCCUCUCGCUCUCUGUCUCUCUCUCUCUCUCUCUCUCUCUGUCUGUCUAUCGCUCUCUCUAUUUCUCUCUCUCUCUGUUUCUCUCUCUCUCUGUCUCUCUCUCUCUUUCCCUGUAUCUCUCCCCCCCAACACCAGACCUGGUCCCAUGUCUGCCUCUUCUUAACACCCCAUCAGAGCCACACUUCUCACCUCCUCCUAAUGGAUGGACAGAUCUGGAGACAGACCAGGAGGAGGAGGAGGAGGAGGAGGAGGAGGAGGAGAAGGAAGAGGGAAAGCAGAAAGAAGAGGAGGAACAGGUAGAGAGGAGGCAGAUGAAGAGAUGGGAGCAAGAGGAGUAUGAAGAUGAUGAAGAGGAGGAGGAGGAGGAAGAAGAAUGGGUAGAUGAGGUGAAUGUGUGGUCCUCCCUGGCAGAGACCAGAGGCAGUCAGAGAAACUCUUCUCUUGAAGGGGGAGAUCUACCUUGGCAUCUGUCAACCCUGGAGCAGGUCAUGUACCUAGCCCUGCCCACCUGGAUAAACACAGCGUUGCUAUGCAACAUCAUGGGGUUGCCGUGGACUCACUCCCUACUCCGUGUGAUGUCACACCUGCUCCUCCCCUUCACCGUGCUACUCAGCUUCCUGAUUGAAAAUACACACAGGUAAGACACACACACACACACACACACACACACACACUAGUGCUGAGCGAUUAACCGAAAUCUAUUGUUAUUUGUUUUUUUUUAAAGGGGAAUUUCACCUUUAAAGGGGAAUUUCACCUCAGGGGAAAUCUGGGCUUGUUUUCAUCAUGUCAGAGGCAUUUCUAGGACAGUGAGAUGUAAAAGCCCAGGAGGAAGUGAGGUCAGGGCUUCGCUCGCUGAAUGAUACACCUUAUGAUGACUUAUGA